GAUGAACGCUGGCGGCGUGCCUAAUACAUGCAAGUCGAGCGGACAGACGAGGAGCUUGCUCCUCUGACGUUAGCGGCGGACGGGUGAGUAACACGUGGAUAACCUACCUAUAAGACUGGGAUAACUUCGGGAAACCGGAGCUAAUACCGGAUAAUAUAUUGAACCGCAUGGUUCAAUAGUGAAAGACGGUUUUGCUGUCACUUAUAGAUGGAUCCGCGCCGCAUUAGCUAGUUGGUAAGGUAACGGCUUACCAAGGCAACGAUGCGUAGCCGACGUGAGAGAGUGAUCGGCCACAUUGGAACUGAGCCACGGUCAAGACUCCUACGGGAGGCAGCAGUAGGGAAUCUUCCGCAAUGGGCGAAAGCCUGACGGAGCAACGCCGCGUGAGUGAUGAAGGUCUUCGGAUCGUAAAACUCUGUUAUUAGGGAAGAACAAAUGUGUAAGUAACUAUGCACGUCUUGACGGUACCUAAUCAGAAAGCCACGGCUAACUACGUG
rnacentral:rRNA from 1 species